UAGCUGAUAUUCUGGUUGACAUUAAACGAAGAAGUCGUGCUGGGCAUACAUUGCAAAGCGUAAGGGAGAGAACUGCUGGUCUAUUGGAGUUGCAGAAUGGGUGCUAAGGGAAGGGAAGUACAGUCGAGAACGGCAGAGAAUAAUGUGGACGUGAUGGAAUUGGGAAACUUAAAGACACGUGGAACCAGUUAGCACAAGACAGGGGUAUUGGAGAUCGCUGGAGAAGCUUUCGUCCUGCGAUGGACGUCAAAAUAAGCUGAUGAUGAUGAUGAUUAUGUGACGACAUCCAUGCCAGCUUCGCGGCAUGUCAUUCAUGUUAUGUCAUGCAUGCGUGUCAUGCACGUUCUGAUAGCUCGAUUUACGUCGAUUGCGGGGGGGGGGGGGGGAGGGGGCGAAGGAGUAACGGCGUGGCCAAGUGGGGCACGCCGGGCACUUGUAACGCUCACUAACAGUAAAUUUUUUGCUACUAUGACAAUGGCCGCGCCCUUCCUCCUCCACGGUCAAUUGGGACCCCCCCCCCCCCCUUCACACGCAAAAAUUUUCUGGCUACGCCACUGUGGGGAGGGGGGUGUAAGAUUGCUCUAGACCCCUCCCCCUAACUUGUAAACGGAAACGGGGGAGGGGAGGGCAGCUGCCGCCGGGCCGCAAACCUUAGGCAGCCAAAUUACCGGCUGCAUUUCCCUUUGGACGUGAAUACUGCUCUAAUGUCAUUACACUGUAGGAUUCGUGGCAGUUCGAGGGCAUGCGACAAUAAAAAAAAAACAUACAGCCACCAGCAAGGCUUAGCUUGAGCAGAUCUUUGGGAGCGGGGCAAGACUCUCACAAAAAAAAAAAUAAGCUUGGCACCCCUCUUACAUGCAUUGUCAACUCUGGGUCACCGCUGACUGCACAUUUCCGGUAAAAAAAAAAAUCACACAGGAACUCCUCUCGGAUUUGUCUAAGUAUGUGUAAGCAUUGUGACUCUUCCUCAUCUACACGCAGUCCAUGUCGUUAUUAAUGUUAUGAGACUUGAUCCGACGACUAUAAGCGACAGCGCUGCGGCGACACGAACUGCUGAGGUCGGCGGCGCCAAGUGAAUGGUGCAAGCAAAGUACUGCAGGUGGCGGGGCCAGGUGCGCUGGUGAAGUUCUGUUCGUUUUGAGCCGUUAUCGCUCUUUAGCCCUUCUCAUCCGCGUCGAACCAUUAUCAACCGUUCUCCGGCGGCGGCUGCUUGUGGCCCGGCCGCGCGAACCGUAUCUUGAAAGCGAACAGCAUUGUGGACAGAGUGUGCCCACUGCUGAAAACUUCGUGCGCUGUGUUCUCGCCGUUUACUUCGCUUUGAAAACAGACGCGCGUACACCUAUCUUGAAAGUGAUCUGCAAAAAGCGCAUAGCUGAAAGCUUCGUGAGCGCAGUGUUCUCGCCGCUUCGGUCGCGUUGAAGCGAGAGCUAGCACGAAGGUGAAUUCACUCGCUGCUGCGGGUUCUAUUUUGAAAGAUAUCGUGCGGUACGGAAUGACGGACGGAUGGUUUUUCUUGUUGGGUAAGUAUAGAAUGCUUACGUUAUAAAAAAAAAAAAUCGCAGGGUUCGCGAAUUUCGCGAUAACAACCAACACCAACCUACUCCCCCGCCCCACGCUGAGCGAUGCAGUCUUGAUCGCCCCCUCCCAACCCCGGGAAAAGGGACACUACCUCUCUAUCUCAGUUGAAGAAACGAUGAUGAAACGUUAACAACGACAAGAACGACAUUUCCUAACGAGUUGUCUUAUGGCCUCCGAGAUUUGCGCGCGCGAACCUGGGAGGCCAUAAUUGGCCGCUUAAUAGCAUAAAAAGACAAAAAGAUAAUGCCAAACGGCACAUUUUAAAAAUUCAAACAACGUACUGAUCUUAGCUAUACUGUUUGGGGAAAAGAAAUAAAAAAAUAGACAGCCGUAACACACGCUACUAAAGCCACCACCGCCGGCAUAACGCGGAACCAACAGUUGGCAACAUUGCUUCGUCCGCUUCGUCUCCGCAACGAGAGCCGCCAUCCUUUCGCGCCGGCCGUUUUGUCAUAGUUCUGUUUUUCUGCAAGUCCGUGCACGCAGCUCAUCGGUAGAUGCACGGGUGCACGGCGUCGCAUUGCGACCUGCGGCAUUUUCUCGUGUUUGCGCAAUCGGUGUGAAACAUGUCGCAUGUGAAAUAUUUGAUAGAAGUGCCUCACGUCCAAGUCAAGCCGCCGUACGAGUGUAUGGCUGUGUGCCCCGUUCUCGGAAGCGUCGACGGGUUUCCGGCAUGCGGAUUUCAGCGUUUGGACUCGACUUUUGGUGAGGAUGUCGAUCGACCUUGGGCCUGGUGACAGCACACCCGACAUGGCCAAAGUGCAGCCUAUCAGUUUAGUGCCCCCGAAUGGACCAUCAGCAUGGGAAAAUGAAGCAGAGCCAGGGGGAAAAGGUUCCGGUAACACCAUGCAUUCAGUAUGGUGGCCCAGACGUGUAUGCAAGCAACCUCCUUCACGUGGACCAAGAACUACUCUGCAGUGUCUCGCAGACUUCCAUGCGAAGCCCUCAACAUUCUCGUCUCAGUGGAAUGGCUGCUCAUCUAUCUGCGUGUCCAUCACCAAGACGGCCAGUUGUAAAGCUCCUGUACCCGUUUAAGAAAGCUUAAUGAUUUUUUAUUUAGUUUUCACGGUUGGCCGUAGAAUCUUACCAUUUUUGAUGUUUCUAACAUUUUUACCUGGCACAAAGUGGUGCAAUAACUUUAAACCAGUGUAAUGUAUUUAAGUGAUGCUCACUCUAAUGUCUAUCUGGUUUUGUUAGUGUUUAAGAAAUUUCAAUGUCUGAUCAGGUAACAGCAUUUGAAUUUGUCAUCGUGGCUCGUUUCAAUGAGCUGCUAGGAAAUAAGACGCAAAACUUAUCACCCGCCAGUUGUAGCAUUUUUUUUUUCAUGACUACAGUAUACACGUUUCAAAAGAUGGAAAGUGGGGAAAAAAGCCUCAAGAACAUAAUCAUCCUAGGAUUGUCAUGUCCUUACAACUCUGCAAGGACUAAUGCCUCAUACAUCUUGGGAGCACAUUGGUCGCAAUGCCUACAGGUAUACUUGAUAAGAGAAUAGCUUGCACCCAGAUUUGCCACACAGUUGAUGGCUGAUGGCUUUUGUUUGUCGACUUCAUGUUACUACUAUGUAUUCAAUAUUCAUUUAGGUGUAAAGGACACUACAGGCACUGAAGUACCAAAUGGCACUUGCAUUUCAGGGGACAAAGUGCCCGGCAUACCUGUCAGAAAACGUGUUCUAGGGGCUACCUUGCCUCUAUAGGUAAAUCGACACCAGAUGCUCUGUGUAUAGUGUAAUCAGUGUACUUGUCUGGAGUGCUUGAAAGAUGUGCUACGGGCUGUACUGGCACUGUCUGAAGAUAAUGCAUGGUUCUAGAAAGCCUGCAGCUGAGCAUCUGCCACCAUACUGAAGGAACUGUACUAAUUUAUUGUGUUGAUGUUGAAAUUUAGGAGCUGCAAUGAAUAGUUGUAAAUGUGGCAGCGUUGCCAAACUAAAGAACAAAUUACACACCUCGACUCACACAAUGCACUCUGAAAGUUUUUCUACGUGGUAUCUGUGUUUGCAGCCUGACCUUAUGGCACCUUUACGAGCAAUGGCAGGUGAUUGUAGCUGCUGAGGCUUUAUCAACUGGCAAGUUGAAAAAAGAAUGCUGUGCCACCAGUGUGGCUGCACAUUCCAAGAUGCAAGCUAUCUUGAACCAGGUGUUCGGCAGACAGUACAUGUGCAGCCAAAACAUGGUGUUUGAGCCCUAUAGGCAACUAGGGUUCACAACUGCCCACAAGUGUGCUGUCAUAACAGAAAGUUGAGAACAAGCAGCAUUUUUACCGGUGUUCGAAACAUCAGUGAAAGUCAUUCUUUCACCAAGGCUGGUAAUCAUGCAUAUGUAACGAGAACAGGGCAUUUGUUACACACAAGGGGUCAUGUGUCAAGUUUAAUUAGAUCAGUAAUCUAUGAGAUGGAUUUAUCAAAAGUAUACCUUUUGUUCCUCAGUGGUCUCUUGGAGAGAUGACCAUUUUCGGCAGUUUAGUUUUGACUUUUUAUGUCUAGAUUUGGUGUGCAUAUUUCAACUAUAGCUAACAGUCAGUGCUCUGUCCUGCCCAGUUUUUAUGUUGUCUUUGUGAUAUCUGCAAUAUUUUGCAGUUCAGCUGCAAAAUAUUGUCUAUACUAUUAUAUAUUGUCUAUGCAAGUAUAUGUCUUUACUAUUACUAGUUUGCAUGUUCAACUUUUGUGCAGUGCUCACUAGUUAUUACUAGCCAUGUUUUGUUCACAUAUGCUCUUGGAUUGUUGCGCGAAGUGACACAGACACAGACUGCAAGCAGACAGGACGAGCGCUAACUUUCAGCUAACUAUAAAUAUAUAUAUAUAUAUAUAUAUAUAUAUAU